UACGAAGGGGGGCUAGCGUUGCUCGGAAUCACUGGGCGUAAAGCGCACGUAGGCGGAUUGCUAAGUCAGGGGUGAAAUCCUGGAGCUCAACUCCAGAACUGCCUUUGAUACUGAAGAUCUUGAGUUCGGGAGAGGUGAGUGGAACUGCGAGUGUAGAGGUGAAAUUCGUAGAUAUUCGUAAGAACACCAGUGGCGAAGGCGGCUCACUGGCCCGAUACUGACGCUGAGGUGCGAAAGCGUGGGGAGCAAACAGG
rnacentral:rRNA from 1 species